CCACAAUGCAGAAGCCUCUUCUUCAGAGACGUAAAACAGGCUAAGGUAAUCUUUCCACUCAAGAGCCUUCUCUGCUUGAGGACUAAAGCUUGUGCCAAACCUCACAUUGUUUGAAGAUGAAUGUUCCUUGGAAUACUUAUUUUUUACCUCAGCAGGUAACCCAAAGAACCUAUAGGUAGCAUCUUUAACAUUCUCCAGCACUUUAAAAGGUACGGCAUGGUUAACAAUCUGGAAGAACCCCCAUUUUGACGCAGCAUCACAAAUUGAUUUUGCCACUUGGGGGUCUUCCCAGUUUGACAUAUCAAUGAUGGGAAUGGUUUCUUGGGCUAAGAUGUUGGUCAUGCACAUUCUUUCUUCCAAAGGUUGAAUAUAUCGCUUAGGGAGGGCUCUGAGACCCAUUUCAGACAAACCCUUCACUCCAUUCCCUUGGUUAAUAACAAAAUCAGUGAGAGCUGAGGAAUCACCGAAUGGUUCAGCAAGUGUAGGAGCCAUUGGUUUAAGUAAUUUGAGUUAAGAGCGAGUGUUGUUUUUGGAAGGGGAUAGAGCUUUGAAGAAUGUUACAAUGAAGAGAAUGCAGUGGUGCAGCUUGCAUCCAAUGCACUGCUAUUUAUAUAUACCAUAUUUGUCUAGCCAGGCACACCACUGAUGACUUUUUGUUUUCUUAAUUAUAUUGGUGAUAUCAAGGAAAAUAUAUGUCUGCCUUACCGACCCAAUAUAGCGGAGAGUAGCAAAGAGGAGUUUCAACAUUCACAAGAGCCAAAGGAUUUUUCCGACGGCUUCUUUAACGCAAAAGGAACAUGUGCAUCAUAUGUUGGUUUAGGUGAGUCAAAUAAAACUUUGACUCCUCCAAUUCCCUGUUAAGUUUUAUCACCAUCCUCCUCUACUCUCACUUAUAUAAUUAUCCUAGAAUUAAUCUGCCCACCUUUUGAGCCCCAUUGCUGCAUUACCGGAAUUAGUCUAAAAUGGCAGGCAUGGCUUGGACUUCCUCCGACCCUAUUUAUAUUUUACUUAAAGCAUGUAGGUUCCUAGUACUUUCGUCUCUCUUUGAUUUGUUUUGCAAUUUGUAUGCAGUCUCCCUUUCCUUGCCUUUUGCUUUGGUGUUGUCUCUUUUCUUCAAAAUCAUUUUGAAAUCGUCACAACUUCACAAAACCCACCUCAAUCUCCAUUUUAAUUUUUCAUCUAAAAACUUUUUUUUAAAGAAAAUCUAUAUUAUUUUAAUCUAAUUAAUCUUUUAAAUCCUAUCUAUUUCAUACAUAGAUAGAUAGAGGGUGUCUCAAGUCUCUAUCCCUGAGUCUUUUCUGAAUGAAUUUGUUGCACUAAUUCUUAAAAUCAUAAUUAAGAAAUAUGAAUUCAAGUUGUAAUUUAUUAUGUUGUUUUUUUUUUUUUUAAUUUUUUUUAUCACUAAGAGUUUUUACUAAUAUUAAAUACACCCAUCGAAAUCAUUCGCAUUUCAAAGAGUUCUCAAGAAAUUGCUUGAAACCAACUACUCAAAAAUCAGCUGUGUCUUUGCUUAUAACUUAAAAUUUCAAUGUACUUAAAAAAUAUAUUGUAUAUUUACAAUUAAGUUAUGCCACAACAUUUGAUUAUUUUUUAUUUUCAAAAUUUAAACUCCAAUUACUAAAUUAAAAUUUCAAUAUUUUAUCAUCAGUCAACAAAUCAUGCUGUGGAUGACUGCAACACUAAUUUAUUUAAUUCAACGAUAAAAUAAAUUUUUAAUCGAUUGUACAUCGUAAAGAGUUUGUAAAAAAUAUAUAUGGUAAAUCUUGGAAAAAUAGCGGUUUCAUUAAAUUUUUUUUAAAAUUUUUCAAUAUUUAGUCACUUUGAAUCUUGAUUAUUCUGAAAUUGAAUCAAAUCAAAUGCUUAAAAAAAAAAAAAACUCUCUUAAAUUUAUUUUUUUUACUUAUAAGAUUUAAAAUUAAAAUUUUACUUAAAAAAAAUUAAAUUUUUUAUCACUCAAAACUAUAAGACAUUAGUGGAUUCGUUAAAUUCGUGGUAUAUAAUAAGCGCCCACCGUUUCUAGGUGGGCUGAUUAAUUUGUUAAUAUAUAUCAUUAGCAUGCGUGUUGGAGUCUUAAGAAAUGUUUUGGCUUCCCCCAAUUUAAAAAUUAAAAUAGUUUCCCUCCCGAGUUCCAACCACCGGUAAAAAGAUUUUGACCUUUGAAAAAGCGUUUGCCUUAUAUUCAAAUGGCUUAAACUGCUGUAUGACGUAUGAAAAAUUUUUUAAUAUGAUAUUUGAAUUAAAAUUACAUUUAAUUAGGUAUUCGAAUUUGUCUUUCGUGUGUUAAUUAAUUGAAAACUUUCACGUUGUUAAUUUAAAAUAUUGAUGUGAUCAUUAAUCAAUAAAAAUAUGAUAUAUUUAUAAAUAUUUCAUACGUGAAUAACAUACGGUUAUUUUUUGGUUUCUAUAAUGACAAAUGAUUAUCACAUGGCAUUCAUGUGAUUGUCAUGUGUCAAAAUUUAAAUAAAAUAAAAUAUUUAAAUAAAAAAUAUUAAAAAAUUUUCAAUCUUUUAAAAUUUAAAAUAUUCAAAAUAAAAACAUACAAAAAAAAAUAUUUUUAAAAAAAUAAUUUCUUAAAAAAAUAAUUUCUUAAAAAAUUGAACUAUGAGAAAUUUUUUAAAAAAUUCAAAAAAUUCAAAAACAAAAGGAAAAAAAUCAGAGAGAAAGAAGAGGGAAGGGAGAGAGAAGGGAAAAGGAGGAGAUGAGUAGCUAUGAUCAGCUGAUCGAGUCGAUUAGUCCUAAACCAGGAAGAUCAACAUCAAUAAUCAAAUAAAUGACAUAUCCAAAAAUAGUAAAUAAAAACUUAACUGUGUCUCCAAAUGUCAAAUCAAUAUAUCACGUGUUGUAAGAUAUUUUUGGAUAUUUAUAUAUAUAUAUAUAUAUAAUCUAUUUGACUAAACGUUAUUAUUAAUUUUAUUUGGAAAUUGAUCGAUUGAAUGAAAGUUUGAGCAUUUAAUUGUGAUUUUUUAAAAUUUAUGUCAAAAAUCAAGAAUUUAAUUACAAUUUGAGUACAAAAUAUAUAAUAAAACUUUUAUUUUUUAUUUUUAUUUUUUGUACAUUAAAAAAUCAUAAUACAUCAAUUUUAUAAGAAAAAUAUAAAAUUUUAAUAUAAAAUACAAUUAAAUCAAUUAUUUAAAACCCUUUGAAAAUUAAAUAAGAAUAAAGAAAGUGGCAUAAAUGAAUAGAAUAUAGUAGGAAUACGAAUUAAACAAAUAUUCAAAUAACUCAACAGUACCCACGAAUCCCAAACUCAACUUUUGAAAAUUUGGAAUAUAGAAUGUCUUAUAAUACAAUAAAUAUAUUAACCAUUCAUUCCCUUAUCUAACUUCACAAAUGAUAAAGAUUUUCUCUCUUUUUCAUACUACAUAUGUAAGGAUGUUCAAAUUUUAAUUUUAAUUAAAUUAAUCGAUCGAAUUAAUUUAAUUUAAAUAAUUAAUAAAUUAUCAUAUUAAUUUUAAUUAAUUAUAAAAUUAAUUUUAAAAAAAUUUAGUUUUCAUUAAUCCGAUUUGAAAAUCGAAUUAGUUGAAAUUUUAAUUGAAAUAUAUUAAAAUAUAUAUAGAAUUAAAAAUAUAUGAAAUUGUUUAUUUUAUUUCAAGUUAUUAAAGUUUUUAACUUAAUAUUUUGAUAUUUAAAUAUUUUUAUUGAAUGAAUUUAUUUAAUUUGUUACACAUAAGAAAAAUUAAAAUUAAAAUUUAAUUUAAUAUAUUUUAUUAUUUGGUUAAUAAAAAAAAUUAACCAAACAAACCCAAUUAAUUUCGAUAUAUUAAUUUUUGAAAUUAAAUUUAAUUGGAAUAAUAAAAAUAAAAUAAAUAUUUGAUUAAUUCAAUUUUAUAUAAUUUAAUAUAAAAUUAAUUAAACCAAUGGAAUGAAGACCCAUGUACAUAUGAGAAAAUUAUAUAUAUUUCUAAAUUUUCCUUGUAAACAUCGAAAAUUCCAUCAGGAUUUGAUUACGACAAAUGGAUCAAUUUAAAAUUUAAAUAAACUCACUUGGAGGACCACGUGCAUCACGUGGGAAGUAGGAAGCUAUUAUUAUUGUUUACUCCUAAAAUAAUUAAGAAAUCAACUAGAAUUGUUGUCUGACUCUAUGAUUUAGUGGUUAAAGAGCUUUUAGAACGCACAAAAUUUUUAAUUCGAAUCAAAUUGUAUAAAAAAAUGAACAAGAAUUAAAUUUAAAUAAUUAAAUAAGACAUGAGGCAGCUAUACCCAUGUUUGAAUAAUAUAGAUAAUUAAAUAACGUAAAAAAGUGGGACCAAAUUUGAUUCUGCUCUGCUUUCGCUAUCAUGGAUUUCUCUUUCAAGCCAUACUUUUUGGAAAUUUUGCUCUUAUCUACCAUAUAGCUAUAUAUUUUAAUAAUUAUUUGGGCUAAAUACUAAGUUCAUAUUACUAUUUUAACUAUAUUUCAUAGAUUUUAUAAUUAACUACCUUAAUUAAUUUGUGGGGGAAAGGGUUAUUUAAUUUCUUUCAACUAAAGGAAUUUUUUCGCUGCAUUCUCCCAUAUUAACCAAAAAAGCUUAUCUUGAAUGAUAAACUAUAGCAUAUUCUUUCUGAUAUACAAUUUAUGAAGUCUAGAAAAAUAACUAGAUCAAACUUAGACCUCUUUUCAAUUGAGAUUUCUUUUAUACACACUAACCUCGGGGCGAAAGCAGAAAUUGAAUAAAUGAAGCACUAAAUAAUAAUUUCAAAGGAGAAAGAAGAUCAUAGUAAUAUUUUAGUGGACUCAGGCGCUGUAAUAUAAAAAAGGUGAAAAUUUUUUGAAGGACCGUGGCCCUGACUAUCCCCUGUUGCUAAUAAAUUUGAAACUUGUUCACAAGGAGAAUGGGGGGAAAUAACUAAAAAGAAUGCUUUCAAUAAGCUUUUUUUGUUUUUUUUUUUUGGUUUAGUACAAAAUACAUCUAUUGCACGAUAGCUAGUUUCUAUGAGCAUAUUAACAUACUUUUAUGCUUGUAAAUUUAUUCAUUUCAGCCUUUUUUUUUUCCUUCAAAACAUAAACAAACUUAUAAUGGAUGAAGGGAAAAUAUUAUAUCAUGUUUAUAAUUCAGCAAAUUCAACUGUUUUCUUCCCGUCGUGCGCUUUACGGAAGAAAUGUUUGACGUAAUCUGAAUAAAGAACUUGCUUAUAAAUUGGUUUCUCACCGCUUUCGACCAAUUCAGGCAACGGUCCAAUCAUAUCACCAGGUCUUGGAUUCACAAAAAUGGGGACAGAAAUUCUGUUCUUACUUCCAUUGGCGACCACACGAUGUUCAACGCUCCUGUACCUGCCAUUGCUCAAUAUUUGCAAUGCAUCUCCAACAUUGAUCACAAGAGAACCCUUAAUUGGAGGAACAUGAAUCCAGUUAUCACCCUGGUUUCCUCUUACGAAAAGCCCCCCAAUCUCAUCUUGAAGGAGAAUUGUGAGGGUCGAGACAUCAGAGUGACGCCCUACUCCCACUGUAAGUUCUGGGUUUGGGCAAAUGGGAUAGUAGUUAAGGUUAGUCCUCGUUGAACCCAUCAACAAUGAUUCUUUUGUUGCAUCAAUCUCAUUAACAUUUAGACCCUUCAUUAGCACCUGUAAUAGCUGUUUAAUGACAACUUCAGACUUCCUCAUGUAAUCUAGCACUUGCUCCCUGAAAAAAAAAAUAAACAGGUGAUCAAUCAAUAUAUAAAUUUGUUAGCGGGUUCUGUGCAUGUCAAGAUGUUUUGUGUUUGCAAGAAAAUACAAAAAGUAAUUGGACUCGUUGUUUAUACCUGCAGACAGGAGGCCAUAAUGCAGAAGCCUCUUCUUCAGAGACGUAAAACAGGCUAAGGUAAUCUUUCCACUCGAGAGCCUUCUCUGCUUGAGGGCUAAAACUUGUGCCAAACCUCACAUUGUUUGAAGAUGAAUGUUCCUUGGAAUACUUAUUUUUUUCCUCAGCCGGCAGCCCAAAGAAGCUGUAAGUCGCCUCUUUAACAUUCUCUAGCAUUUCAACAGGCACAGCAUGGUUAACAAUCUGGAAGAACCCCAAUUUAGAAGCAGCAUCACAAAUUGAUUUCGCCACUUGGGGGUCUUCCCAAUUUGACAUAUCAAUGAUGGGAAUGGAUUCUUGGGCUAUGAUGUUGGUCAUGCACAUCCUUUCUUCCAAAGGUUGGAUAUAUUGCUUAGGGAGGGCUUUGAGACCCACUUCAGACAAGCCCUUCACUCCAUUACCUUGGCUAAUAACGAAAUCAGUCAAAGCUGAGGGAUCACUGAAUGGAUCAGCAAGUGUUGGAGCCAUUGUUUAGACUAAUUUAAGAGAGAUAAGGUGUUGUUUUUGGCAGAGGAUAGAGCUUGAAGAGUGCUACAAUAGAUUGUAGAACUAGUGUCCGGUGCUGCUUGCUUUCAAUUUACAGCUAUUUAUAUAGAAUUUUGUGUAAGGUCGAAAGCAGCAAUGCCGAGUUUUUGUCUUAUAAAACUGUUUGCCUCACCAACCCAACCAAUCCUGGCGGGGAAAAUACACGUUCCAUUGAGCAUCGUUUUGAGUCCAAAAUGGUAGGCUGAAUUACGUGGGUAUUCCAUUCUGAUUAUCUUCAGCACGUUUACGUGACUUUACGGUGGUUUCCUAGCACUUUCGUAAUUCUUUAAUUUUGCACACAUUUUCCCCUUCUUGUCAAAGUUCAUUCGCAAUUCCCAUCUUCACUCAAUUAUGAAUUUAAAUUUACUAUUUUUAAAAUUAUUAAUUAUUAUUAUUAUUGUUGUUAUUAUUAUUAUUGUUACUAAUUUUAUUAUUGUUGUUAAAUGUUUUGAAAAAUUCAGAGAAACGAAAAGAUCACUAGAUUGAACAAAGAGUAGAUAUUCUUAAAUAAAAAUCUAAUUUCACUGGUCUAGGUUAUUUUAUUUUUUCCAAACCUAUAUGUCAAAGUUUUUGGAGGUUUUUUUUUUUUUAAUCUUGAUUUUUGCAAAGUGUUUUUCUUUUUUUGACAAAAAAAAAUUUACCUUAAGAUGAUAUUGCAAAAGAAAUUGACAAAUUACUUGUCAUUGGUUCAAGUCAAUUCCAAUUUGCUUAAAAAAUAAUUAGUUUUUAUAACUGCAUCCCAUUCGAGAAGUCACAUAAUUUAUCCCAUCUUUUAUUUAUUAGACUCUAUCAUUUCACAUAUAGUGUUAAUUAUUUUGCUUUGCACAAAGUUAAAAAAUUUUGAAAUUGAAUUUUGACUUUCAUUAAUUAUAAAAUUUUUUUUUUUACGAAAUUAUUCUUGGCCUAAAUAACGAGGUUUUAUAGUUAAGGGUAAUAAGGAAAAGUAAGGAUGAUUUUUCCCUAGUACUUUCGUAUUUCUUUAAUUUUGCCGACACGUUUUCCCUUUUUUAUAAAAGUUCGUUCACAUCUCCCAACUCAAUCUCCGUCGUCAAUUUAUUCAAACCUCAGGUUCUUAGACCAUGGAAAUUCCAUCCAACAUAUCUAAUAAUACGUUGAAUGAUAUCCUUUAGUUUUUCUCCCACAUGUCUUUAUCAAAUUUCCUUUUAAUCAUAAUGAUGCCGUACAAAGAUUUCUCUCUUUUUUUUUUCGCUCAAUUAGGAAUUUAAACUUAUAUUUGGUUCGUCUACAAUUUUUAAAAUUGUUGUUAUUAAUAAUAAUAAUAAUAAUAAUAAUAAUAAUAAUAAUUGUUGAAUACUUUGAAGAACUAAAAGUUUUUCAAAGAAACGAAAGAUCACAAGGUUGAAUUAAGAUCGGAUAUCCUUAUUUAAAAAUCUAAUAUUUCACUGGUCUAUGCUGCUUUAUUUUUUCUAACCUAUAUGUCAGAGCUUUUGAAGGCUUCCUUUUUUUAUUCUUUACUUGAUUUUUACAAAGAGUUUUUUUUUUUUUUUGACAAAAAAAUGCUUUACUUAAGAUGAUAUUGCAAAAAAAAAUGACAAAUUACUUGUCAUUGGCAAAAGUCAAUUCCAAUUUGCUUAAAAAAUUAUUAGUUAUUUUUUAAUUGCAUCUCAUUGGAGAGGUAACAUAAGUUAUCACAUAAGUUAUACUCUAUCAUCUCAUAUAUAGUGUUAUGAUUUUGAAUUUGCACAAAGUUUAAAAUUUUAAAAUUAAAAUUUGAUUUUCAUUGAUUGUAAAUUUUUUUACGUAAUUACUCUUGGAUUAAAAAAAUGAGUGUUUAUAGUUAAAGGUAAUAAAGAAAAGUAAGGAUGAUUUUUAUAUAAUUGUCAAAAGAAAUAUUAUUUUGAGAUGAUUAAAGGUAUGCAAAUAAAACAAUAUUUAUUAAACGAAAGAAGUAUUAAUCACUAUAAGAAAAUGAAAUAUUAGUGACAGUUUUGUAACGGCGUUUCACUUACAAACGCUGUUAGUUUCUGUGUUUUUAUAAAACUUAAGACAUUUUUUAUCAAAAUGUCACUAAAUAUUAAAAUAGUGGCGUUUGUACUUAUAAACACCACCCAAGACUAAAAUUAGCAGCAUAUUUAUUGACUAAAAUGCCUUAAAUAAUCUUCUCUAAAAAAUUAGAGUGAUUACGGAAGACGUUUUUGAUAAAAAAUACCUUGAAUAAUUCUAUCAUAAAAAUAGAUAAGGGAUUAUUGAAGACAUUUUUGGCAGACAACGCUUUGAAUAAUCCUUCAUAAAAAAUGUAAGCGAUUAUUGAAGGCAUUUUCUGUCAGAAACGCCUUCAAUAAUUCAGCUAAAAAAUUAGAGAGGAUAAUUGAAUGCAUUUUUGGUCAAAAUACUUUCAAUAAAUAUCCUAUCAAAUUUUAAGGAUCAUACUGUUGUUAACUAUAAGGUCGUAGGUUCGAUCUCUCUCUUUAGCAUUUUUUGUGUUUUUAAAGGGAUUUUUUGCAAGGGAUUAUUCAAAGCGUUUUUUGGUCAGAAAUGCUUUCAAUAAUCGAUUUAAAAAAUUUUGGAGAAAGAAUAUUGAAGGCGUUUUCGGCAAAAAAAUACCUUCAAUAAUCCGUAGAAAAAUUUUGGAACGGAUUCUUGAAGGCAUUUUUGGUCGAAAAUGCCUUCAAUAAUCCACUCAAUAAAUUUUUAUGAGGGAUUAUUAAAGGCAGUUUUGGUCAAAAUGCCUUUAAGAAUAAAUACAAAAAAUUUGGAAUGGAUUCUUAAAUGUGUUUUUAGCCAAAACGCCUUCAAUAAUUCACUCAAUAAAUUUUUAUGAGAGAUUAUUAAAAAUAGUUUUGGUUAAAAAUGCCUUCAAUAAAAUUUUGUUAAGAAUUAUUCAAGGUAUUUUUUUGGCUAAAAACGUCUUUAAUAAUUUUAUAAAAAAAUUUUAUUUAAUUAUAUAUGUGAAGUCGUAGGUUUAUGCCCAAAAAACAUUUGAAGUCAAUUAUAGGUUUAUGCCCAAAAAAACAUUUGGUUUAUAUCUGUGAUACUACGAAUUACAUUUUGAAAAUAUUUUUGGAUAAUUUGUAAUUUUAUUGCCUAAAACAAUUAUUCACUGCUAUCAAUAUAUAACUCAUAUAAUUUUAUCUGUCACUCUGGCUUCUAUACAAAUAUAUCCCUUCUUAAACCCCAUUUUUCACAUAAAUCUUUAUUUACACUAUCAAAAGCAAUAUUUUUCAGCCCCAUCAAUCUUAAUUGUAUCACUUCUUUUAUCAUUCUAAAGAUCUGCACUUUAUUACUUUUCACAGCAGUAAACUGCCUCAUAUUCCUUUCACUGCAAAUUAGAUAAAUGUAUGCCCCCCAUGCCAGUCUCGAUAGGAUAGAUAUUAGUGGCUUCCCUUUCACCCUGCUUACAGCCCAAUGGAAUUCCUCUUCCCAACCAAAUAGCUCUCUAUGUAAGUUGCAGAGCUGUAAAACCUGUUUCCACACAGUUUUAAAGUAAUUGCAACUAAAGAAGAUAUGGCUUCUAGACUCAUCCUCUUGUUUGCAUAGCACAUACCCUGUUUCAUUUGUAAUCCCCCAUGCGUUCAAUCUAUCCUUGGUAGGGAGUUUAUUUAAUAUCGCCAUCCAAGCUAUGAUUGCAUGUUUGUGUACAUGCAUCUUGCACCAUAUUAGCCUGUACCACACUACCUUCAUUUGUUUCGGUUUCAAUUCUUCCUAUAUAGCUGUAACUAAGUUUUCAAUACCUUCCCCAUUCCCCAUUCCAUCUUAUGCCUUCCUCUGUUUGCAAUCGAGUGGCAUGUCUCCUCAUUUGUAAUAGUUUUUUCAUGCUCCAACUGCUACUUGUGUAAUAGGUACCUCCUAUAUAUUACGCCUUUUAAACACAUAACUAUGCACCCAUGCAAUCCACAAUAAACCUGCUUGUGAGAAAAUAUACCAUAGAUUUUUAAUCAUACAAGCUUGAUUCCAAAUUAACAAGUCUUUUAACCUGAGUCGUCCAUCGGAUUUAGGCCUACAUAGAGUUUGCCAUUUAACCCUUGCCCCUUUAGCUGAUUUAUUCUGCCAUUUCCAAAAGUUCCUUGAACAUAGCUGUAUAACCUUUUGGAUCACCCUUUGUGGCAGCAUAAAAUGUCUACACCAGUAGCUUUGAAUACUAAAUAUGAUCGAUUGUAUCAGUUAUAAUCUACCUGUAUAUGAUAAAUUUUUUGUUGCCCAACUACAUAUUCCUGCUAUUAUCUUCUCUAUUAGUGGAGUACAAUCCUUUAUGGAGAUCUUACGUGUAACUAAUGGAACCCCAAGGUAUCUUACAAGGAGUAUGCCUAGUUUGAAUCCUGGCACCUGCACUAUCUCUUGUAAUGCCCUUCUUGGAACACCUGUUAAAAAUAGUUCACUCUUCUCGUAAUUAAGCUGAAGUCCCGAAUAUGAAUAAAAUAAUUAUAGUACCUGCUGUAUCCCAGAGAUGGACUCCAACUUCCCUUUUGUGAAGAUUAGCAGAUCGUCAGUAAAGCACAAAUGCGUUAAUCUUAUCUUCUUGCAUUUUGGAUGAUAAGAAAUAACCUCAUAAUGUGCUAUUGCAUCCACUACCCCUUCUACAUUCUUCACAUGUUCUAUCAGAAUCUAGUCUUCAUCUGUCUUCUUUGGCUGCCAAACCUUAAUUGUUGUAGCCAAUGGGCUUAUGUAAAUAAUCUUUGUCAGAAUGACCAAAUACACAAUAGUGAUGGCACAUUCGAGGCCUCUAAGGAACUUCUACAGAACCGUCUCAUCUCGGAGCAUAACAUCUAUGAAUCUAGGUAUGUCUGUAGUAACCUCAAUUUUUAUGCAAAUUUUAACAUAUUCUAGCCUUUCAUAAUUGGCUGUGAUUCUAUCCAUAUACAAUGGAUUACCCAGUGCACUUAUAAUGUAACUUAACCCUUUUCUUGUGUAUAAUUCCAAUGGAACAUUUCCCAGUUGUAUCCAAACCGGUAACUUCUUCAUUUUGAACUCCAAGGUCUUCAUGCCUGGCUCCCAUUUACGAACAAUAAUAGGCUUAUUUUGAAUAUGCCAUGGCCCUGACGCCAAUACCCUAACCCUAUCUUUCUCUGAAGAAAAUUGAAGCACAAACAAAUUAAUUCUAGCCGGCUUUAUUAUGACAGUUCCCUCUUUUCCCCCAUAGCAUACUUACCAAUCUUUGAAAUUGACUGUAAUUAAGAAUUUUUCCUAUGAACUGAGCCACUAACGAGUUCUUCCGUUGAUGAACCUCCUCCUCAAACACCUCAUCAGCUGGCUUGAUCAGUAUCUUCAUAUUCUCCUUUUUUUGGAGGAAAAUAUUGCAAUGUUUGAUCCGUUGGAGUAAAGAACAGAUUCCUCCAAUUAGUCGCACUCUUACUUGAAUCACCCAUAAUCUUCUUUGCAUUCAACCCAACAUUUAUGCAAUCCUCAUUGAUAAUCUCAGUGUUACAUUGAUCCUUACCAAAAUUUUCAAAGGAAGAGGAUUGUAAAGUAAGAGAUGGUUUCUUUGACAUCGUUGAUCGCUACUUUCUCAAAACCCCAAUUUAAGUUCAAUGACGAACCAACUCACCAAAUUUAUUCGGAACCAAAGAAAUCAAUUCUAGAAUAGAAGAAAUUAGAUAAAACUAGCUUGUAAGGAUGGAGUUUGCACCAGAAUCAAUGGCUUAGGCGAGGAAAUUUUCCACUCCUGCUAUUGUGAGCCAAGAGCUUUUCCUUGACAUUUUAGAAUUUACAUUAUGAACAUUGUUGUAUUUCAAUAAAUUGACCACACAUUUAAAUUUAAAAUUGAUAACGUUAUCAUAUAAAUAUACUUUUCUCAAAUAAUCGUACUCAAUAUAUGUGUAUUCAUAUAAAACAAAUAUAUACCAAUAAUAUUAAACCAAUACUCCAAUCUACAAACUUAAAUUAUCUAUUCAACACGACAUGUUAAAAACAUUAUAACAAAUGAUCCUCACAUAUUUACACUCAAACAAUAAUGUCCAACCUCAAGGUUUAGCAAUAAAUGAUAAUACAUACUCACACCACUUUUUAUGGACUUCAGCAAGUUCAUCUACCAUGAAGCUUUCUUUACUCUCCCAUUUUAAAAAAAUCAAAAGUAAAUGUUAAUAAACGAGAACAUAAUUUAGCUUUUUUUUUUUUAAGAUAUAAUGACUUUAUGAAAUUUAUACUAAUCUUAAAUGGUGUGGUCAUAAAAUCAUAUAAAACUAUCUCUUUCAUAAAACGAAAGACAUAAUAUCCACAUUCAGUAUAUCCAGGUUGACGAGGUACCUGAAAAUUAAAUUUAGUGGGUUUAAGAAACAUUUAUCUACACAAACUCAGCAUAAAAGAAUAAAUUUUACAUUUACUGGUAAUGACACCCAUUUUAUCUUUGCCUUCUUAUCAAAUGCAAAUAUUACCCUAAAUUGAAAAGAAAAAAAUUACUUAAUACAUAAAUAAAAUUACUUAUGAAGAAACAUAAGAUAUAUAAUAUAAUAACAUGUAAUACCUCUUUAUAAAAUUUUUAAUAUCGGGUUUAGGUAUCGUCGUUGGUUGAGCAGAAUUAAGUAUGGCAUUAAGAAAUUAGUAUCAAUCAUAAUAAGCUACCAAUGAUGAUUGUAAAAUAAUAAAAAUGAUAUAUUCAGAUUAGUCAUCAUAUUAGAUUCGGGUAAGAUUGGAAUAAUUAUUUGUAUGAAUAUAACUUACUGUGCAUUAUACAAGUGCAAAUAAUAAUCAGCCUAUUUUUUCAUGCAUUCAAUCACAUUAUUAGGAUGAAAAGCAACUGUGCCACUUUGCUCACUAACGAAAUUAGGGUCAACGAAUCUAAAUCUAUGAAUGUUUGUCCCGCCUUGACCUCUCUAUAUAGGAAGCUGCACGAUAACAAUCAACAAUACUAGUUGAUAAUAUAUCGUAAUAUAGAUUAAUAUAUAUUUAGUUUGCAUAUUUAUAUUUAUAAGCUAACCUCAUAUAAGCAACAAUGUCAAUACCUGAUAUUUCAUCCAGUUUACAAAUUCAUUAACUUCAUCCACACCAAAGUAAAAAAAUGAUGGUUGAUCAAAUAACCCAUUCUCGGACUCAAUGGUUAUGCAAUUUCCUUUGGAUAAAUGAUCAAGUGAAUAAUUAGAUAACUCAUCCAUGGCAGACUGAGCAAGGGUCAUACUCUGAGUCCUAACAUCUUGCUACAAUAUAUAAUGAAAUAUAAGUAUUAAAACCAAAUCAAUAAAUAUAAUAAACAAAUAAAUAUUAAACUUAUAAACAAAAUCAUACUUCAAGGCUGGUAGCAGAGGUUAGGUUCCCUGCCUGACUUGCAACGGAAGCUUAUUCUAGAUGAAUGAUGUUAUCCGACUGGCUUACAGACAUGCUAAGCUGCAUUGCUACCAACAUUGCCUCCAAAACAGCAAGUCAUUGUUGUUGCUCAUUAAAGUAUUGCUCCUGGUCAUCAAGUCGUUGCUGUUAUUGCUCAAUGAUUGCUUCAUAUUGUGUAUUUGUCAUUCGAGAGGUUUUGGGUUGAUUAUUAAAAUACUUUGAUAGCAACACCGAUUUACCAACCCCAUGAACUUGACCAUGCCUUUCUUUAGCUCUUAAUGCUAAAGACAAUAGAUCUUUGCUUUAUUGGGUUGCCACUUCAUCAUAAUUAACUUUAGCAGCAUAAUCAUCUUAAAAGACAAUAAUAAGAUGGGCCAUAACAACUAGUAUAGAGUCAUGCAUAUAACCACAAUGCCAAUCAUAGGUGAUUUAAUGACCAAUUAUACAUACAAUCUUUUUAGCCAAUUCUUUGGUUGCUUUAUCUGUAAAGGAUCCAUUCUUUCGUAGAUGUCCUUGUUUUUAGACAUUCUAUCUAGAAACUUUGGUGCCAGAGCUAGUUGAUUCCUAAUAAAUUAUCACAAUAUAAGAAUCAAAAUAUAUGGAAUGAAUGUUCAUAAAUAUUCAUUUAUGAGUAUAAAACAAGUGUAUGAAUACUUAUAAGCUCAUACUUGAUAUUUGCAUAUCCCUUUCUCACUGUCUGAUGGUGAUAUAUUUGUUUGGCCUGAAUGUUCUUUUGGUUUUCUUUGAUUUUUUACAAAAAAAAAAGAAAUUACAUAAAUCACAUAUAAAAAUAUUGAAUAUAUUGCAUAAAAUCUUAUAAACAAAUUUUUUUGUAAUGGGUUUAUGUACUGAAAAAUCUUCUGAUAGUCGAUCUCAAACAAAAAUUCUUCAAUCUUCAAUAUUUAUAACAUCUUCAUAUGACAUCAGUGGAACAACCAAUACAUUACCUUGAUCAGUGAAUGAUAAAAUACAUUGGGUUGUCAAUUUAUUUUUAAAGUCUCUGAAUGCUUUCCUAGUAGAUUAGAACACAAGCUUUUUACACUCAAUUGGAACAUCAAACCGUUCUUAAAUAAUUUAACACAAUUAGUAUGAACACAUUGAAUUUUAAUUAAAUGAUCAUUUAACAAAUUUUAUGAAAUAGUUGAAUAAACAUACCACAAUCAACUCCCAUAUACCAUCAUUGAGAUCAUCAAAAACUCAUCGUCAAUUAUGGUAUGUAAUUGAAAUGCUAUUACGGAUGAUGGCACCAAUAUGAUAGCAACUUAGCAGCUCUAUUAGAUACAAGCUGUCCACUUUGAUUAAAGUCUACGUGAAUUUUUAUGUCACCCACUUUAAUUUUUUUAUUUCGUCCCCUUCCUUUUCUUUUUUGGCCUACAAGUGUAGCUUGUGCAUAUUUAGUAGAAAGAGUAGUAUGUUGUUUGAAGUCCAUAAUACCUGUAAUUUUGAUAAUAAUUAUACGAAAUACAUCAAACUGUCUCUCUAAAUUCCAUACUGUACGUAAUAAAAUAAACCAAUAUCAUACUACAAAAACACCAUUCAGCAAUGUCUUCAAAAACACCAUUCAACAAACUAUUUAGAAACACCAAUCAAGAAACCAUUUAGAAACACCAUCCAGCAAACCAAUAUCAUACAAUACCAUUCAACAAACUAAUAUCAUACAAUACCAUUCAGUAAACCACAAUAUUUAAACCAAACUACACCGAUAUCAUACAAUAUCAUUCAAUAAACCACAAUAUUUAAACCAAACUACACAAAAACACCAUACAUGCAAUGAAAGGUGCUUGGACGACCAGGUUAUGGUGAAAUGAAUAAAAAUACAUAUGCAAAUGUAAAUAGUAAGAAACUGAAAAAAAAUACCUCUAUCAAAGAAUAUAAAUAAUACAAUAAACAAAUAAAAUAAGGACAUAACGAUAAACAAGAAAGUGCGCAACGUUGAGUUGUUAAAGGUCAGCAGUGACGAUAGAGAUAAAAAAAUAAAAAGUCAAACUAAAAGUGUUUAGGGGGUUUGGUUUGGUUGAUUAAUACAGCUUUUAAUCAUUCUUUGUAGUAAUAGUUUGUAAUUUUGAAGUUCAAGAUAGAGGAAUGAAUAUAAAAAUUAUAAAUGAAGGUAUUUUUCUAUAAAAAUGCCUUCAAUAAUUUUUUUUUAAAAUUUUUGGGGAUUAUUAAAUGUGUCUUUUAGUAAAAAAGCCUUCAAUAAAAUGCCUUUAAUAAUGUGGUCCAUUUUUUCAAUAGCUUGUUUAUUAGAGGCAUAUUAUGCAAAAAAUACCUUCAAUAAAUUCUUUUAAAAAAUUUGAGUGGAUUAGUGAAUGUGUUUUUAGUAAAAAAUGCCUAUAAUAAUCUAAUCAUCAAAAUUUUAGCAGAUUAUUAAGGCAUUUUUGGUAAAAAAUCACUUUCACUGAUAUUCCCCUAAUAAAAAUGGAAUGGAUUAUUUAAAGCAUAUUAUGCAAAAAAACUCCUUCAAUAAAUUCCUUUAAAAUUUUUGAGGAAAUUAGUGAAAGCAUUUGUAGUAAAAAAAUACCUUCAAUAAGUUCCUUAAAAUUUGAUUAUGAGGUCAUUGAAGGCUUUUUUACUAAAAAAAUACCUUUAAUAAUCCCAAGAUAUUUUUAAAAAAAAUUAUUGAAGGUAUUUUUUUAGAGAAUGCCUUCAAUAAUUCGAUCCAUUGUUUUAAUAGCUUGUUUAUUGAAGGCAUUUUAUGCCAAAAAUAUCUUCAAUAAUCAUGUCCAAAAAUAUUACGAGGAUUAUUGAAGGUGUUUUAUAAAAAAAAUGCCAACAAUAAUUUUUUUAAAAAUUUUUGAAAAUGAGAUUAUUGAUGACAUUUUUAGGCAAAAAUGCCAUUAAAAAUCUCCUUGUUAAAAUUUAAGGGAAUUAUUGAAGGCGUAUUAUGCAAAAAAAAUACCUUUAAUAAAUUUCUUCAAAAUUUUUUAGAGAAUUAGUGAAGGCGUUUGUAGUAAAAAAUGCCUAUAAUAAUCUCUUCGUCAAAAUUUAAAAGGAUUAUUAAAGGCAUUUUUAGUAUAAAAUCACCUUCACUGAUAUAAAAUUAUAAGUAAAGAUAUUUUUUUUUUACCAAAAAUGCCUUUAAUGAUCCCCUUAAAAUUUGACUACAAGAUUAUUGAAAGUAUUUUUACUAAAAGACGCCCUUAAUAAUCCCAAAAAAUUUUUAAAGGAAAAUUAUUGGAAGUGUUUUUUUUUUUUUUUUAGUAAAUGCCUUCAAUAAUGCAGUCUAUUUUUUUCAAUAGCUUGUUUAUUGGAGUUGUUUUAUGCUAAAAACACCUUUAAUAAUCUUGUUUAAAAAUAUUACGAGGAUUAUUGAAGGUGUUUGUUUGUUGAUAAUGCCUCUACUAAUCAGAUGUAUGCACGUGUGUCUUACAAACUCCAAUAAAAUUAUCCCCAAACUUAACGCAUCCAAUCCCUAACUUCAAGCUUCAUCUUCAUUAAUCUGUUAUUUCUUUUUUCAGAUCAACUACAAUUUACUUUCCCUUUCCUUCAGCUUUUAGUAUUCGAGCUUUGUCUUUUGGAACCUUAUUUCGACUAUUCCUUAGUAAUUUACUUUAGCUUUUACUUCAUUUUACUAUUCCUUCAGCUUUUGUAAUUUGCAAUAUUCUUUUUAGUUUAUAAUUUUUCUCCAAAACCAACCUUCCAUAAAUACCUAUUUGGAACCCAUCAUCCACUUUCCUUUCCUUUUCAUUUUUUUCAUUUUCUGGGUUUCCUCUAAAUCAGUUUUACCUUAUUUUAACCCCAACUACAAAUACUAUAGGUUAAUGUCUGAAUUAUCAAUAGAGUUUUAAAUGCUUUAUAUUAGGUAGCUGAAAAAAUACUUUACAACAAAGAGGUUUGGUCUUCUAUAAGUACUGAUCUUGUUAUUAUUUUUAGUUUAAAAUAUAGUAAAAUUAAGUAUUUUACAUGUUCAUUUUCAUAUAAAUUAUUUAUAUAAAUUUUGUUUGAUAAUGUAGCAAGUACUAAAUGGAUAAGUGUUUGAUGCAAAAGUUAAAAUUAAGUCAAAAGUAUAGAGAUUGAGUGAAAAAUUUUCUUAAUUUUGCAUUUGAGAAUACAAGUGAAGAUAAUAUGAUAUUAUACCUAUGUGUGAAGUGUGCUAAUAUCGAUUGGCAAAUGCAUGAAGUUGUUUUCAAACAUUUAAUUUGUAUUAGAUUUAUCUCAGGAUAUGUUAAUUGAUAUUUUCAUGGAGAGUCUGUACCGUGAAGGUCUUUUCACUAAAGUUCCUUCAACUUCAAGGGCUCCCCAACACCUACAUGAUCUUUUUAUAGCAUAUGACGCUGAAGGCUUGUUACGAGAUGCUUUUAACAUUCAUAACCAAUAUUUUUGUAAUCUAUCUCCCCAAAACAAUGGAUUUAAUGAGUCAAAUGUUGAAAUGAAUGAAUUUGGUAAACAUAGGAUAGGUGUAGGUGACCAACAACCUAGAGGAGAAGCAUCAAAGUUUUAUAGGUUGCUUGAGGAUAUGAAUGAAGAACUUUAUGAGGGAUUGAAACAUUCAAGGUUAUCUUUCUAUGUUCGUAUUUUUCACUUGAAAUGCUUAUGUAGAUGGAUGAAAAACUCUCUAACUUUAUUAUUAGAGUUUAUGAAAGAAAUAUUUCUUUUUACAAAAAUCCCUGAAUCUUCUAAGGAAUCAAAGAAUAUGAUCAGGGAUUUGGGUCUUGGAUAUGAGAAAAUUCAUAGUUGUCCCAAUGAUUGCAUGUUGUAUUGGGGUGAAAGAAAAAAUCAAGAAUCUUGUCAUUUGUAUGGUGUUUCUCAUUGUGUGGACAAAAAUCCUAAUGAAAGAUUGAAUGAGGACGGUGAUAAGGUCUAUAUAAAAAAAAAGCUUAUAAAGGUUUUACGUCAUUUUCCAUUAAUACCAAGACUUCAGCGACUCGUCAUAUCUUAUUGUCAUGCACGUCAUUUAAAGAAGAUUUUCCCUCCAAACUUCUUCACUAUUAUGAUGCAUUUGGUUAUCCAUAUUUCAUAUGAAGCAAAAGUCGGUGGAUUAGUUUAUUAUCGAUGGAUGUAUCCUAUCAAAAUGUAUUAUUUGUUAAUAGCUUGAUUAGGUUGUUAGUGUUGAUCAUAUCACUCUAGUUAAAAAGAUAUAUGACAAAUAUUUUAUGCCAUAGGUUUUAAGGAGGUUAAAGUCUUAUUGUCGCAACAAAUGCCAUCAAAAGGUUCUAUUGCUGAAGGAUAUUUAGCUGAAAAGUGUAUGACAUUUUGUUCUCAUUAUUUAAAAGAUGUUGAAAUGAGAUUUAAUAAAACAUCAAGAAAUGUUGGUAUGCAGCAUACUGACUUUACGUACAUUUAUCUUUUUGAAAGUUUUGGAUAACCAAUAGGCAAAGUUGAAAUGGUGGAGUUAGAUAAUAAAUUUUGGGCACAAGCACAUCGAUAUGUUCUUUUCAAUCAUGACUCAAUUAAAUCGUUUCGCACGUAAGUUUUUUUACAAGGAAAUAAUUCAUUCCAUUAAGCAUAAUUUAUUAUAUUUUUUGUUAUUGUUAAUACUUUAUCAUGAUGCUUUGUAAUGAGUAAAGAAAUAAUUUGAGAGCUCGUGCACAUUAUCGAUGAUCAAACCCUAGAAAGCUUUGAUAAGUUGUUCAUAAAAAAAUUUCAUGAAUUGUUAGGAGCAAUUGUAAGUAAUGCCAUAUGUCCCUUUAUGAGAAAUCUACAUAAAAUGCUUACGAUAUAACUAACAUUAAUAACAUAUAUAUAUAUUUAUUUCACCUUUGUAGGUUUGGAGUGGAAGGCUUGUUAAUGAAGAGGUGAAGUAUCUUUCACAAGGUCUGAACAGAAUUGUGAAACGAUAUAAAAAUUUCAUCAUCAAUGGAUUUAGAUUUCACACUAAAUCUUAUGAGAGAUUUAGAAGUACACAAAAUUCAAGAGUUGUUGUUACUUCAUCAACUACUAGUUAUGCUAGUAUUAGGGACACAAACCCUUUAGAGGAAAGUGUUAACUAUUAUGGCAUGAUUAAUGACAUCAUUGAGUUGGAUUAUUAUAGAAAGUGAAAAGUUAUCUUAUUUCAAUAUGAUUAGGUUGAUAUGAAUAGUGCAAGAGGUAUUAAAAAAGAUUAGUUUUAAUUUAUACUUGUGAAUUUUUCUCGAUUAAUUCACACUAGACAACAGCUUAUCGAUGAACCUUAUGUUUUUUUAUUUCAAGUCAAACAAAUUUUUUAUUCUGAAGACCCUAAAGAAUUGGGUUAGUUUGUUGUUCUUCGAAACACACCUAAAGACUUAUUUGAUAUAGGGUUAGAUACCAGAGAUGAUGUUCAACAUGAAACUGAAUGUUAUCCUUUUACUGAACAAAACUUGGAUGAAAAUAUCUCCAGUACCUCUGCUCAGUGGGUCCGUGAAGAUGUUAAUGAAGACAUUUAUGAAUUAUGAUGGAUCAUCUAUAUUUUGUAAUUCAAAUGUUUAAGACAUAAUGUAAUAAAUGUUUGUAUGUAAUUAAUGUUGCAUUCACUAUUGUAUAUUUAUUGUAUUGUAAAUCUUACAUUAUCAUUUAAUUUAAUUAAAUCGAAAUGUUCUUUAUAUAAUGUUGGUUAUGAUUUCUUAACUUCUCAAUGUCUUUAUAUAUUUUCUAAACUAAUAUCUUUUAUAUAUUCACUUUUAUGAUGCAGUUAAGCUACAAUGCGGAGGAGUAGAUUGAAAAGAACACAUAUCAGAUAUAAUAGUUCAGAACUAUCUGCGGUACCUGUUGAUAUUGGCUAUGGACUGAAUCUUUUGGAGGAGAAUGAAUGUACUAUUAGUUCUAACUCAGUCACUUCUAACCUUCAAUUGUUAUUGGAUUUGGCAAUACGAGAGGUCCAAGUUUUGAUAGUAUCCUAUCAACUGAUUAUGUUUUCAAUUUGAAUGCAGGUAUCAUAUACCCCAUAUUUAAAAUUCGAUUAUAAGGAUUAAAGUAUUGGCAUUUUACAUAUUGAUUUUUUAUUUUUUGCAGUUGAUAACAAUGGUUAAUGGAGGAUCAAAGGUCGAACAACUUUGAAGAAAUUGUUUACACUACCUUCGAAUGAGCAUAUUGUAGUGUUUGCAAACUCUGAUAGGCAAUCAAUUAGUGAAAAGGAUCAACUGUUGGCUGGAUUUCUAAGCAUGAUUGCUUGUAAUGGAAUGAAAUUACUUAUUCAUUAUAAAACAUGGCAUAAAGUUCCAGCAGAAGUUAAGGUCGAUGCUUUAAACUUUAUUGAGGUAUUAGUAUAAUUAAUUACAUAUAAAAAUAUAAUUAUUUUACAUUUGGUUUUAUUGAUUCAAACUUUUCUUUUUGUAUUAUUACAAUCAAGAUUUGUACUUGAAACACCAACUUCAUUUGUGCUUAAGUCAUUGGGAAAGAAAUGGAAAGACUAUAAGCAUAAUUUAAAGAAAAAGUAUUUCGAUCGAAAUACUACUAUGGAGGCCACAAUAGAAAAUCUACCACAUAAUGUAAUUAGGUGGCAAUAUGAACAAUUAGUUCCAUUUUGGUUCUCAAGAAAAGGAGAGGUACUAAUUUAUAACUUUUAAUAUUAGUUUUAAACAAUAAAAGUGUUUUAUGCUUUAAGUUGGUAAUAUUUAUAUUUCUAUCAUAUACGCAAUUAUUUUUUAUGACAGGAAAGAGAACAUAUUGGGAUUGAUAGCAAAAAGCAAUAGAAAUAUAGCCACACAAGUGGAUCAAAAAGUUUUGCAAGAAAGCAAAAAGAAAUAUUAAGUUUAUGAUAUUAAACUUAUUCGAAUGAAUGAACUUUUUGUACCGUUAAAAGGUAAAAAUGUAAAUUAACAGUUAUUGUUUUGGUUUAAUAGUUUUAAUAGUAUCAAUACAUGAUAUUAAACUUAUCCAAAGUAUUGAACUUAGUUUUCACAAUUGAUAUGUAUGAAAAAGUUAUUGUUUACGUCUAUUUAAGACUUUUUAUGCCGUUAAUAGGUAACAAUACUAAAUUGUUGUUAUUGUUCUAUUUUAACAGUUUGGAUAGCUUCAAUACAUGAUAUUAAACUUGUCCGAAUGAUUGAACUUAGUUUCUACAGUUGAUAUAUGUGAAAAAGUUAUCGUUUACGUCUAUUUGGGACUAUUUUUGCCUUUUAAAGGUAAAAAUACAAAUUAAACUUUUGGAUGGCUUUUAACAGUUUGGAUGGCUUCAAUACAUGAUAUUAAACUUGACCAAAUAAUUGAAUUUGGUUUCCAUGAUCGAUAUGUGUGAAAGGCCAAAAUGCUUUUAUUGUUUAUGUUUGUUUAAGACUUUUGUGUUGUUAAAGGGCAAAAAUAUAAUUUUAUGGUUAUAUUUCUAUUUUAACAAUUUAAAUAGAUUAAAUACAUGUAUUAAACUUAUUUGAAAUUUUGAACUUGAUUGACAGGCUUGAUAUGCAUGAAUAAGUUGUGGUUGACAUGUAUUUAAUAAUAACAUAUGUUUUUAUAUAGGAGAUUGAGAUGGGUUACAAAAUUAGAUGUGUGAAACUUUUUUGCUUAACACACACAAAAAAGAUGAAUCUUACCGAAUGUUGAAACACAAGAAAUUGUGGUAAUUGGUUACAUCUAUUUUAACAGAAAGUAAGUGUAUACUAUUUUUAACAUAUUAUGAAAUAAUCCUUAAACUUGAUAGUUUUAUCUAAUUAUUUAAUAAGAGAAAGUAAAAGAGAAAAUGGCUGGUAAGAUUUAAGUAACAUUUGAUGGUUCUGUCAACAUGCAAGAAUUAAAAAAUUAGAUUUUCACAGAAAUUGCUAGAAAAGAAAGGCAUGGACGGGUAUGAGGUCUUGGAUUGGGUCCAACACCAUCUACCUACUAUGAACGUAGCUCUCAAUAAUUUAUAUUUUUAACAAGUCAAUCUUAUGAAACAUUUCCAUAUUGAGAAAGGAGUUGCAAACUAUGCAACAACAUUUUCAACAAAAAGAAACAGAAAGAGAACAGGAACGUGCCAAAAUUGAAAAGGAAUGUGCUAGAAUGGACCAAGAGCGUGUAAAAUUUCAAUAGUUGCAUAAUCAAUUCGAUCAUCUUAUGAAUUUUGUGCAACAAUAAUUUUCAGGAACUAAUCUCAGUGGUCCACCAACUCAAGUAUUAUAUUUAGUAAAUAUUUAUAUUUUUAUAAAUAUAAAAAAUAGCUUAUUAUUAAGUGUUAAAACUUGUAUGAUAUUAUUCAGUAGGUUCUUGAGCAUGCUAAUGACCAAGGUGAAAAAAUUCCUUUAUCAAAUGGCAGUCUUCCAAAUCUAUACAAUCAUCAAUUUUAUACAUUUUAAAUUUUUUGAUUAAUGUACUAAAAUAAUCUAAAUAUUAUUAUACUAAUUAUUAAACUUUGUAUUAAUUACAUACAUAUUUGAACGUGAAUUAAGUAUUUAUUAAUUUCAGUUUCUGAAUUUAAGUUCAUUUUUAUUUCUUUUAAUAUUUUAUGUUAAUGAAAAUAAUAAAUAUUAAAAGAAUUUUUUUUAAAAGUAAAUUUUUUAAUUUUAAGGCGUUCGUGCUUAAGAAUGCUGCUAAAUUAUAAAUUUAGUAGCAUUUGUACUAUAAAACGCCACUAAAAUUAGCAACAUUCUUAUCAUUAAAAUAUCGCUAAAUUAGCAGCGUUCUUAUUUAAAAAAUGACGCUAAAUUAGCGACAUUUUUAUGAUACAAUUGCCCCUAAUUUAAAGGCAAUUAUCCUGACAAAUACCGCUUAAUAGAACGGCAUUUUAUGAUAUAAAUGUCAUCAUAUUAACGACGUUUUUUUAUAUAAACGUCAUUAAAUUAACGGUAUUUUUCAUAUACAAAUGCCAUUAAAAAAAGAUGUUUUGUAAAAAAUGUCGCUAUUUUUCUUGACGCAUGUAUAGUCAAUAUUUUUAGUGGCAUUUUUUGUAAAUGUUGCAAAUCGUUUAAUGACGUUUAUAAACACCGCUAAAUAUUGAGAAAAAUGCCACUAAAAAUCUAAACCUCUGUAAUAAAUUUAUUGUUUUUAAAUAUAUCCUUUUGAAGUAUAUGUAAACUUCCUAAUCCCUUUUAAACUCUACCAACAAUGUAUGACACUAUGGUUGACUGCAACACUAAAUUAUUUAGUUCAACGAUAAAAUAUGUUUUUAAUUGAUUGUUGAUCAAAAAAAUAUAUAGCAAUUCCUGGAAAAAGGGCUGUUUCGUUAAAUUCGUAUUUUAUAAUAAACGCCCACCGGUUUCUAUAUGGGCUGAUUAAUUUGUUAAUGUUUAUCAUUAGCACGCGAGUUGGAGUCCUUAGAAAGUGUUUUGGCUUCCCCAAUUUAAAAAUUAAAAUAGUUUCCCUUCUGAGUUCCAACCACCGGUAAAAAGAUUUUGACCUUUGACAAAGCAUUUGCCUUAUAUUCAAAUGGCUUAAAGUAAUGCUGUAUGAACCCUAUACAAAAUUUUUAACAUGAUAUUUGAAUUAAAAGUACAUUCAAUUUAGUAGCCAAACUUGUAAUUUACGUGUUAAUUAAUUGGAAGCUUUCCUGUUGUUAAUUCAAAAUGUUAAUGCGAUCAUCAAUCAAUAAAAAUAUGAUAUAUAUAUAUAUAUAGAUAUUUCAUACGUGAGUGACACACGGUUGUUUUUUUAUAUAAUAAUGAUACAUGGUUAUAACAUAGUAUUCAUGUGAUUGUUAUGUGUCAAAAUUAAAAAAAAAUUAAAAAACAAUAAAACUUUUAAUUUUUUAAAAUCCAAAAUAUUAAAAUAAAAACAUACAAAAAUAAAAAAAAUAUAUGUUUUAACAAAAUCAAAACUAAUGCUUAAAAAACAAAAAAUAACUUCUUAAAAAAUUAAAAUAUAAGAAAAUUAAAAAAAAAAAUUUCAAAUUACGCUGGAGAUUGAACUCCAUUUUUAUAAUAAUUCAUCCCUUAAAAGAGAUGAAUGAAUCAUAUUACUAUUUUAACUAUAUUUCAUAGAUUUUAUAAUUAACUACCUUAAUUAAUUUGUGGGGAAAAAGGUUUAUUUAAUUUCUUUCAACUGAAGGAAUUUUUUUCACUGCGUUCUCCCAUAUUAACCAAAAAAGCUUAUCUUGAAUGAUAUACUAUAGCAUAUUCUUUUUGAUAUACAAUAUAUGAAGUCUAGAAAAAUAGCUAGAUCAAACUUAGACCUCUUUCUUUUACAUACGCUAACCUAAGGGCGAAAGCAGAAACUGAAUAAAUGAAGCACCAAAUAAUAAUUUCAAAGAAGACAGGAGACCAUAAUAAUAUUUUAGUGGACUCAGGCACUGUAAUAUAAAAGAGGUGAAAAUUUUUUGAAGGACCGUGGCCCUGACUAUCCCCUGUUGCUAAUAAAUUUGAAACUUGUUCACAAGGAGAAUGGGGGGAAAUAACUAAAAAGAAAACUUUCAAUAAGCUUUUUUCGUUUUUUUUUGGUUUAGUACAAAAUACAUCUAUUGCACGAUGGCUAGUUUCGAUGAGCAUAUUAACAUACUUUUAUGCUUGCAAAUUUAUUCAUUUCAGCCUUUUUUUUUCCUUCAAUACAUAAACAAACCUAUAAUGGACGAAAGGAAAAUAUUAUAUCAUGUUUAUAAUUCAGCAAAUUCAACUGUUUUCUUCCCGUCGUGCGCUUUACGGAAGAAAUGUUUGACGUAAUCUGAAUAAAGAACUUGCUUAUAAAUUGGUCUCUCACCGCUUUCGACCAAUUCAGGCAACGGUCCAAUCAUAUCACCAGGUCUUGGAUUCACAAAAAUGGGGACAGAAAUUCUGUUCUUACUUCCAUUGGCGACCACACGAUGUUCAACGCUCCUGUACCUGCCAUUGCUCAAUAUUUGCAAUGCAUCUCCAACAUUGAUCACAAGAGAACCCUUAAUUGGAGGAACAUGAAUCCAGUUAUCACCCUGGUUUCCUCUUACGAAGAGCCCCCCAAUCUCAUCUUGAAGGAGAAUUGUGAGGGUCGAGACAUCAGAGUGACGCCCUACUCCCACUGUAAGUUCUGGGUUUGGGCAAAUGGGAUAAUAGUUAAGGUUUGUCCUCGUUGAACCCAUCAACAAUGAUUCUUUUGUUGCAUCAAUCUCAUUAACAUUUAGACCCUUCAUUAGCACCUGUAAUAGCUGUUUAAUGACAACUUCAGACUUCCUCAUGUAAUCUAGCACUUGCUCCCUGAAAAAAAAAAUAAACAGGUGAUCAAUCAAUAUAUAAAUUUGUUAGCAGAUUCUGUGCAUGUCAAGAUGUUUUAUGUUUGCAAGAAAAUAUAAAUAGUAAUUGGACUCGUUGUUUAUACUUGCAGACAGGAGGCCAAAAUGCAGAAGCCUCUUCUUCAGAGACGUAAAACAUGCUAAGGUAAUCUUUCCACUCGAGAGCCUUCUCUGCUUGAGGGCUAAAACUUGUGCCAAACCUCACAUUGUUUGAAGAUGAAUGUUCCUUGGAAUACUUAUUUUUUUCCUCAGCUGGCAGCCCAAAGAAGCUGUAAGUCGCCUCUUUAACAUUCUCCAGCACUUCAACAGGCACAGCAUGGUUGACAAUCUGGAAGAACCCCCAUUUAGAAGCAGCAUCACAAAUUGAUCUCGCCACUUGGGGGUCUUCCCAAUUUGACAUAUCAAUGAUGGGAAUGGAUUCUUGGGCUAUGAUGUUGGUCAUGCACAUCCUUUCUUCCAAAGGUUGGAUAUAUUGCUUAGGGAGGGCUUUAAGACCCAUUUCAGACAAGCCCUUCACUCCAUUACCUUGGUUAAUAACGAAAUCAAUCAAAGCUGAGGGAUCACUGAAUGGUUGAGCAAGUGUUGGAGCCAUUGUUUAGACUAAUUUAAGAGAGAUCAGGUGUUGUUUUUGGCAGAGGAUAGAGCUUGAAGAGUGAGUGCUACAAUAGCUUGUAGUACUAGUGUCCGGUGCUGCUUGCUUUCAAUUUACAGCUAUUUAUAGAGAAUUUUGUCUAAGGUCGAAAGCAGCCAUGCCGAAUUUUUGUCUUAUAAAAAUGUUUGCCUCACCAACCCAACCAAUCCUGGCGGGAAAAUACAUGUACAAUUGAGCAUCAUUUUAAGUCCAAAAUGGUAGGCUGAAUUACGUGGGCAUUCCAUUCUGAUCAUCUUUGGCACGUUUACGUGACUUAAUAGUGGUUUCCUAGCACUUCCGUAUCUCCUUAACUUUGCACACCCAUUUUCCCCUACGUAUCAAAGUUCGUUCACAAACCCCAUCUUCACUCAAUUGUGAAUUUAAACUUACUUUUUUUUUUAAAUUGUUGAUAAUAAUAAUAAUAAUAAUAAUAAUAAUAAUAAUAAGCUUUUUUUAUUACUAUUUUUGUUGGUUUGUUAAAUGCUUUGAAGAAUUCAUAUAAACGAAAAGAUCACUUUAUUGAAUUAAGUGGAUAUUCUUAAUUAAAAAUCUAAUUUCAUUGGUCUAUGCUAUUUUAUUUUUUCUAACCUAUAUGUCAUCAGUGCUUUUGGAGGUUUGAUUUUUUCUUUCUUUUAAUCAAGAUUUUUACAAAGUGUUUUUUUUUUUUUUUGACAAAAAAAAUUUACUUUAAGAUAAUAUUGUAAAAAAUUAUUGACAAAUUACUUGUCAUUGGUUCAAGUUAAUUCCAAUUUGCUUAAAAAAUUAUUAAUUAGUUUUUAUAACUGCAUCUUAUUCGAGAAGUCACAUAAUUUAUCCCAUCUUUUGUUUAUUUCUCUAUCAUUUUAUAUGUAGCGUUAAUGAUUCUGACAUUGCACAAAGUUUAAUCGAACUUUGACUUUUAUUAAAUUUUUUUUUUUUUUACGAAAUUACUCGUGGCCUAAAAAAUGAGUGUUACAGUUAAGGGUAACAAAAAAAAAAAGGAAGGAUGACUUUUCGAAUUGAUGGUUUCCUAGUACUUUCAUGUCUCUUUAAUUUUGCCGACGCACUUUCCCUUUCUUAUAAAAGUUCGUUCACAACGCCCAUCUCAAUCUCUAUCUUCAAUUUAUUCAAACCUCAGCUUCUUACACAAUUGAAAUUCCAUCCAAUAUAUCUAAUAACUAGUUUUUUUUAUCCGUGCCAUGCACGGAGUUUUUUAUUAUAUUUUUUUAUAAUUUAAAAUUUUAAUAGUAUAUAUAAAUAAAUAAAAAUAAUCAUAACCAUUUAUAAUUUGUAGUUUAAAAUUUAAAAAAAUUAUCGAUAUAUAAAUUAUUAUGAAAGAAUCUAAAAAGCAUUAUGAAAGUUUUAGAUUAUGAAAGUUUUAGAUUAUGAAAGUAAAAUUAUAUACAAAUAUCAAUGAGAAAGUUAAUCUUUUAUUCACAUUUUAGCAUAAAAACUAAGAUUUACACAUAAUAUAUCAUGAAAGAUUUUUUCAUAUUUAAAUUUGAAACUUUAUCUUGUCAAACUUUUAUGACGAAAAAAAUAUUGAUUGUGAGAAAAAAUCAUAAAUAUAUAUUUAAUAAUUAUUUAAUUUAAAAAAAUCUAAAUUUUUAAAAAUUUAGUUUAUCCAAGUUUAAUUUUAAAUUAAGAUAAAAGAAGAUAGUAUAAUUUUAAAUUUAGAUAUGUGUGUAAUUUUGAAUUAAGAUAAAAUAUUUUUUUAUUUUAAAUUAUAAAAAAUAAAAAAAACAUUUGACAAAUAACUGUGAUUCAACAAUAAAUUUUAUUUAUUUAAAUUUAUAUGAAUAUUAAUUUAGAUGGUGUAUAAUUUUUGUAUGAUUUUUAAGAUUUAGGAAUUUAACCUUUAAAAACUAUUUGAAUUCGAUAAGAGUAAAAUAUGAGAAGAUAUAUUUUAUUCUAUUUAAAUUAAGAUAAAUCUUAUAUAUUUGGAAAGAUUUUGAUAAAUGUAAAAUUUGAAACUUUAACAUUUUUAAAAAUUAAAUAAUUGAUUUAAUAAAUUUAUUUUAAAAUAUCUUACGUAUUAAUAAUAUAGGUUGUCUACCUAAACAUUCAUAUAAGCAAAUCUUAUCAAAUUUUUAUGUAUGUUGUAAUAUAAUAUUAUAUAUGAUUUGUCAAAUUAUACCCUUUAGAUUUUGUCUCAAAUCUCUUUAUCAAAUUUCCUUUCAAUCCAACGAUGCCGUACAAAAUUUUCUCUCAUUUUUUCACUCAAUUAAAAAUUUAAACUUAUACUAUUUCUUUCGUCUACUAUUUUUAAAAUUAUUGUUAAUAAUAAUUAUUAUUAUUGUUGUUGUCGAAUGCUUUGAAGAACUCAAAGAAACGAAAAGAUCGCCAGAUUGAAUUAACAUUAGAUAUCCUUAAUUGAAAAUCUAAUUUCACUGGCCUACGCUGUUUUAUUUUUUCAAACGUAUAUGUCAGAGCUUUUGAAGAUUUCUUUUUUUUUUUUUUAAGUCUUUACUUGAUUUUUACGAAGUGUUUUUUGACAAAAAAAUGUUUUAUUGCAAAGAAAAUUGACAAAUUACUUGUCAUUGGCUCAAGUCAAUUCCAAUUUGCUUAAAAAAUUAUUAUUAUUAAUUUUUAAUUGCAUCUAAUUGGAGAAGUAACAUAAGUUAUCACAUAAGUUAUACUCUAUCACCUCAUAUAUAGUGCUGUGAUUUUGAAUUUGCACAAAGUUUAAAAAUUUUGAAAUUAAAUUUUGACUUUCAUUGGUUAUAAAUUUUUUUUUUCGUAAUUAAUCUUGGCUUAAAAAAUGAGUGUUUAAGGUUAAAGGUAAUAAAGAAAAAUAAGAAUGAUUUUUCUAUAAUUUUCAAAAGAAAUAUUAUUUUGAGAUAUUAUUAAAGGUAUGCAAAUAAAAAAUAUUUAUUAAACGAAAGAAGUAAUAAUUUAUUAUUUUUAAAUAUAUCCUUUUGAAGUAUACGGAAACUCUGUAAUCCCUUUUCCAAUUGUUGUAAUUUUUUCUAGCCCAAAUGAUGUCAGAUUUACAAAUAAUAAAUAAAAACCCUUAGAAGUUGAACUUCAAUUAUAUCACCUACCAUUGUGGAAAUCAAGUACCUUCUCCAAGUUGAAAGUUUUUGUUUUUAAAUUCAAUCUAAAAAUUUUAAACAUAAAGUAAUGCUCUUUUAUUUGAUUAUUCAAUAGAUUCGCAAGUUAGAAUUGACUAUACAUAAAGAGUUUGUAAAUGAAGACUUUGGCAAUUAGAGCUUUACAAAUUAAGGUUUUGUUUUUCUAUGUUUGUGAUGAAAUCAAAAUCAUGACUAGAAUGAAGAAUACAUAUGUUGCUUGUAUAUUAAACUGAGUGCUUAGACAUGUUCAAUGGACGAGAAUAUUUUAUUAAUUAAUUUUUUGGGCUGAUUUUUAUUUUGUAAAAAAAUAAUUCUAAGGCUGAAUUGUUAAUAUUGAACAAUAUAUAUCUUCAAGUGUUGUUUCGUCGAACAUUAAUUCAAGUCUUAAGAUCUAUGUGCGCACAUUGAUUUCAGUGGCUGGUUUCUUAAUGGUAAAGUUAACAUGUGUCAUGCAUGUUGAUUAAGUCUUAAUUUAAAAGUAUUUUCCUCUUGACCUUUUUAUAAAAAGAAAAUGUAGUUCCCAUUUUACCGCUAUUCUAAGGAUAUUGACCAUAUCACAUGGGGUAUCUAUGCUAUUAUUAAAAUUCUAAAUGAAUUUCAUAUUAUAAAGGUUAAAAGUUUUUGUGGUUCUUAAAUUUUGAGUUAAAUUUAUUUUAAUUUUUAAUUUUUAAAAAGUUUUAGUUAAAUUUUUAAUUAUUUAGAGCUAUUUUAUUUUGAUCAUUUUAUUUAUUAAAUCAUCUAAAUUACUGGUAAGUGCUAACUGAUAGCACGUAGAUUAUGUGGAUUGGCAUAUUUAAUAGCAAAUGGAGGAACUAAAAUAGAAUUUUUCUCUAAAUUUAAGACUAAUGAUGUUAUUAUCUCAAAUUUUUAUAUUUCAAUAUAUUUUAUAAAAUAUUAAAUUUAAAAUAAUAUUUUUAGAUUUUUAUUGUAAAAUAAUUUAUUAGUUAAGUAUUUUUGUUUUUACUAGAAAAUAGAUUUUCAAAAAUUAAAAUUAAGUUAAAAUUUUCAAAAUCUUUUUAUGGUAAAUUCAUUAUCAUUUUAAAUAAUUAAGUAAAAAUUUUUAUAUCAAUCUAAAAAAUUAAAUAAACGAUUCCAUAUUGUUUUAAAAAAUUAACUAAAAUUUUUUUAUAUAUUCUUUAUUAAAAUUUCAUAUUUAUAAAAAAUCAAAAAGGUAAUAUAAACGGCCCUUAACGUUGUUCAAUCCGGUAAGGAAAAUAAAUUGGAUUACUGAAAAUAAUAUUUUUAUUUUCUCUAAAUAUAAAUCAUAUACUUUAAUUUUUUUUAAUUUAUAGAAUUAAAAAAUAGGAUUUCAAAUUUUUAAACUUAAUUUUCUAAAAUCUAUUUUAUUUUAUAAAUAUUAUUCUAUUGACAAAUCAUAUCAUAAGAAAAAAUAAAAAAUUAUUUUAAAUCUAUUCUUCAUUAAAAUUUCAUAUUUAUAAAAAGUAAAAAAUGGACAAUCUAAACGGACUUUAACGUUGCUUAUCUAGUAAGGGAAAGAAAUCAAUUUACUGAAAAUAAUAUUUUUAUUUUACCUAAAUAUAAAACUUUUACUUAAUUUUUUAAAAUUGUGUAGAAUUUUUUACAAAAAAUUUUGAAUUUUUAACUUAAUUUUAAUUUUUUAAAAUAUAUUUUCUCAAAAAAAAAUUUAUUUUACUAAUAAAUCAUAUCAUAAGAAAAAAAUAAAAAUUAUUUUAAAUUAUAAUAUUUUAAAAAAUAUAUUUAAAAUGUAAAAAUAUUUUUAAUUAAUUUGAAUUUUAAAAAUAAAAAUAUUUUUCUGUAUUUACUUUUAUUUUUACUUUUUUCCUUCUUUGUAAAAUCUAUUUUAUAAAAUAUAUUUGAAAAAGGAAUAACAAAAGAUAUUUAAUAUUUUAAUAAAAAAAAUUUUUUGGAUUGAAAAUAAUAUUUUAUAUUAUGAUUUUUGUGUAAAAUAAUAUUUUUACUAUAAAGUAGAUUUUUUAUUUUUAAAAUGAUAUGUAAUUUUUUAAAAAGAAUUUUAAAAUUUUAAAAUUAAUUUUAUUGUUGAAAAUCUAUUUUUUAAAUUAUUUAAUUAAUAAAUUUAUUACAAUAAAAUAUAAAAAUAUUAUUUUAAAUUUAAUAUUUUAUAAAAUAUUUUUGAAUUAUAGAAAAUUUUAAGAUAAUAAUAUCCUUGAUACUUAAACUUUGAAUGAAUUCUAUUGUGGUUCUUUUUCUAGUAUGUGAGAUUAUAGUUGAUUUUAUUCACGUGGUGUCAAUUGAUGUUUAUUAUCAAUUUAGAUUGUUUCAUAGACGAAAUAACCAAAAUAUGAUAAUUUUGGACAAUUUAGGAUUUAAUUAAAAUUUUUUAAAAUUGAAGGACUAAAAUAGAAUUUGACUUAAAGUUUAGGGACAUAGGUGUUUUAACUCUAAAUAUUAUUAAAAUUAUGAAUGAAUUUAAUAUCAUAAAUCAAGUAACAUAAAUUUAGUUAAAAAAAUUAUUAAGAAAAAUAUUAAUAUAGUAUAACUUCUCCUUUGAAUUUUUUUUUUUUUAAAUGCACACAUGAUAUGUGUGUCAAGUUUUAAAUGUUACAUAAUAAGCAUAUACAUUAAUUAUUAUUGCUUAAAAUAUUAGUAAUUUUUUACUAUUAAUAUUUAAUAUUGAAUAAGAAAAGUAUUAAAAAAUUGUUCAAAGCUAAUUGGGCAUUCUUACAUAUAUAAGGGGAAAAAGCAAAUAAAAUAAUUACAAUUAAUUAAUAUUUUCCAUCUUAAGAAAAUCUUUUGAAUAUUAUAAAAGAAUAAUUUAAUUCUGUCCCCUAACACUGAAAUUUUUUUUUCUUUUUUUUUUCUUUCUAUAAAAUUACUUAUUUUUUAAAAAAAUUGUAAAAAGCUUUUCUUGAUCACAUUUGGUUUUCAAAAUAAAAUAAGGUGGGCAUGAAAUAUAUAUUUAUUUCCCUCCUGUACUACAUAAAAAAAGGAAUAUAAUAGCUAGGAAUAUGUAUUGAAUAAAAUCUCAAGAUUUCGUUUGUCGAGCUGAAAUAGAAUAGAAAUGUUAUUUAGAUAUUAGAGUGGCAAAAGUUAGUGAAGGAAAUAAAUAUAUAUAAAGUAAUACCAUUUUCUUUCAAUCUAAAGUAAUAAAAAAUUAUUUAUAUAAAUUCAAACAAAAUUAAGAUUUUCUAAAAAGAGAAAUUAUAGUUAUAAUUUAGUAUUUUAUUUUAUUUUAAAAAUUAAAUUAAAAAAACAAACUAAUAGAUCAAAAUAUAACUGAAUAAAUAUAAUAUAAAAUUAAACAAAAUCCUAAGAUUUCAUAACUUCUUUUUUACCAUCAAUUUAGUACUUUUUUUUUGGGGUCAAAGAAUAUUAGUAGUUGAUACGGCUUAAAUGUUUCCGAUUACAUAAGCAGAAAUUGAUAUUUUUGUCUCCUGUAAAACCUCAGAAGCAAUUGAGCAAGUUGUGAGUCAACAAUUACCUUUUUCCAGGCUGCGACCAAUUUUGGUCUCUCUUCCUCUGCUUUCAAGCUCAAUCACGGUCCGUUUCAAAGCCGCGGUUUUGGAAAAUUUAGCCUAGGUUUGAAUUUUAUCGUAUUUUUUAUAAAAAAAAAUAAUUUUUUUGGAUUAAAAAUAAUAUGUUAUAUUAUAAUUUCUGUGUAAAAUAAUAUUUUUAAUAAAAAAUAAAAUUUUUAUUUUUAAAUGAUAUGUAACUUUUUAAAAAAGAUUUUAAAAUUUUAAAAUAAAAUUUAUUGUUGAAAUUUUUUUUAAUUAAUUUAUUAAAUUAUAUUAUAACACAAUAUAAAAAUAUUAUUUUAAAUUUAAUAUUUUAUUAAAUAUUUUUGUAUUAUAAAAAAAUUCAAGAUAAUAACAUCCUUGAUCCCUAAACUUUGAACGAAUUUUAUUGUAUUUCUUUUUUUGUCAUUUGAGAUGCUAGUUGAUAUCAUCCACGUGAUGUCAACCGAUGUUUUUCAUCAAUUUAGAUGAUUUCAUAUAUAAAAUGAUCAUAAUAUGAUAUUUUUUACAAUUCAAAAUUUAAUUAAAGUUUUUUAAAAUUAAAAAAUUAAAAUAGAAUUUGACUUAAAGUUUAAAGGCAUCAGUGCUAUUAACUCUAAAUAUUAUUAAAAUUAUGAAUGAAUUUAGUAAACAUAACUUUAGUUAAAAAAUUAUUAAAAAUAUUAGUAUAAUAUAACUUCUCUUUAGAAAUUUUUUUUAAGAAAUGCACAGUGUGUGUGCCAAAUUUUAAUAUAUAUUACAUAAUAAGUCUGCAUAUUAAUUAUUAUUGCUUAAAAGAUUAUUAAUUUUUUAUAAUUAAUAUUUAAUAUUGAUUAAGAAAAGUACUAAAAAUUUGUUCAAAGCAAAUUGGCCAUUCUUACAUAUAUAAGGGGAAAAAGCAAAUAAAUAAUUACAAUUAAUUAAUAUUUUUCAUCUAAAGAAAAUCUUUUGAAUAUUAUAAAAGAAUAAUUUAAUUGUAUCCCCUAACUCACUUAAAAGUUGAUUUUUUUCUUUUUUCUUUUUUUUUUUUGUUCUUUCUAUAAAUUUGCUGAUAUUUUAGAAACUUGUAAAAAGCUUUUCUUGAUCACAUUUGAUUUUCAAAAUAAAAUUAGGUGGGCAUGAAAUAUAUAUUUAUUUUCCUCUUGUACUAAAUAAAUAUAUAUAUAUAAAUUAAUACCACUUUCUUUCAAUGUAAAGUAAUAAAAAUUUAUUUAUAAAAUUCAAAUAAAACUAAGAUUUUUAGAAAGAGAAAUUAUAGCUAUAAUUAAGUAUUAUAUUUUAUUAUAAAAAUUAAAUUAAACAAACAAACUAAUAGAUCAAUAUAUAAAGGAAUAAAUUUAACAUAAAAUUAAAAAAAUCCUAUGAUUUCAUAAUUUCUUUUUUACCAUCAAGAUAAAGCCUCAUCUACUAUUAAGAAUAUUUAGUAGUUUUUUUUUUUUUUUUUCUGUGAAAGAAUAUCAAUAGUUGAUACGGCUUAAAUGUUUCAAAUUACAUAAGCAGAAAUUGAGCGAGUUGUGAGUCAACAAUAACCUUUUUCAAGGCUGCGAGCAAUUUUGGUCUGUCCCUUCCUCUGCUUUCAAUCUCAAUCAUGGAUCUUUUCAAAGCCAUUGUUUUGGAAAAUUUAGCCUAGGUUUGAAUUCUAUUUUAUUUUGUACGUGUCACAAUUGAGUUUAUUAUAUCAUUAAUUGAAUAUAAAUAUUAAUUACAUUGAGAUUUAUUUAAUAUAAAUUUUUUAUUAAAUUUUUUUCAAUCACAGUUCAAUAUUUUUUUUCAAUCAUACUUACGAUAAUUUUUAUUAUUCUUUUUAAUUUUAUUAGAAUUAAUCUCGUCGCACAUCCAAAUAUAAUCUUGUCUACUCUAUUAUUUAAAUGUUGCAUAAUUUUCUUUGUAUGAUUGCAACAUUAUUUAUAUAUUUACAUACAUUUGAAGAAGUCUAAAAUACCAUAACAAAUUACUUAUAUAAAAACUAAAACUAAUAAAGUUCAUAUUAAUUAAAAUUUUUUUUGUGUACAAAAUAUAUCAAAUUAAUAUAAAGUUUAUUUCUUUUAACUAUAAUAUAAAUUAAAAAAUUCAAUGUAAAUUAUAAUCUUUUUAUUUAUAGAAUAUAGAAAUUAAUUUAAUGAAUGACUUUCAAUAAAAUUAGAAUUCUUAUUUAUAAAUUGAAUGAAUCUUGUAUUAUUUAUAAAUAAAAAAUAUACUUAACAAAUAUAAAUAUUGCUUUCGUAAAUAAAAAUAUAGAUGUGGAAAUAACUAAAACGAAUAAAGUGCAAUAAUAUGUUGAAUUAAAUUUAUAAAAUGCACUAAUAUCAUUUUUGUCAACCAACAUGGGUGCUUUUAUAUAUAUAUAUAUAUAUAUAUAUUAUACUUAAUAUAUAUGAUUUGAAUUUUCAAAAUUAAUUAAUGUAAAAAUAAAAAAUGGGGUACCUGUAUUAAACACAUACGUAAGCCGUAUACUAUUCAGAAUCCAUGUAUUGAAUUUUCAUAUCUUUUUGGUUAUUUUCAUUUAAAAAAAAAAAGAAGCAGCUUUCAUAAGGAGACUAUAGGUAGUACAAAAAAUAGGAGAUUAUUGGUAAUAUAUUUGAAAAUUAUUAGCAAGGAGAAGUGGAGAAAGAACAAUAAAACAAGUGAUUUCAGUGUUGCACAAGAUACAUAUUUUUGCACAGAAUGGCUAGCUUUUUUAAUAUCCUGAAGCAUAUUAUAAGCUUUUAUGCUAACAGUUUAUUCUUAUCAGCCAUUUUCCCAUCAAAUAAAUCUACAAUAGCUUACAAUAUUUGGAUGAGAUGUUUAUAAUUCAGCAAAUUCAACUGUUUUCUUCCCAUCAUGUGCCUUGCGGAAGAAAUGCUUGACGUAAUCUGAGUAAAGAACUUGUUUAUAAAUUGGUUUCUCACCACUUGCAACCAAUUCAGGCAAUGGUCCAAUCAUAUCACCAGGUCUUGGAUUCACAAAAAUGGGGACAGAAAUUCUGUUCUUACUUCCAUUGGCGACCACACGAUGCUCAACGCUCCUGUACCUGCCAUUGCUCAAUAUUUGCAAUGCAUCUCCAACAUUGAUCACAAGUGAUCCCUUAAUUGGAGGAACAUGGAUCCAGUCAUCACCCUGGUUUCCUCUUACGAAAAGUCCCCCAAUCUCAUCUUGAAGGAGAAUUGUGAGGGUCGAGACAUCAGAGUGACGCCCUACUCCCACUGUAAGUUCUGGGUUUGGGCAAAUGGGAUAGUAGUUAAGAUUGGUCCUCAUUGAACCCAUCAACAAUGAUUUUUUUGUUUCAUCAACGUCAUCCACAUUUAGACCCUUCAUUAGCACCUGUAACAGCUGUUUAAUGACAACUUCAGACUUCUUCAUGUAAUCUAGUACUUGCUCCCUGGAAAAAAUAAAGAGGUGAUCAAUUAAUAUAUAUUUCUUUAGCUAAUUGUGUGCAUGUCAUGAGGAUGUUUUAUGGUGCAAGAAAAUCUAACAAGUAGUUGGAAUCUUUGUUAUACCUGCAGACAGGAGGCCACAGUGCAGAAGCCUCUUCUUCAGAGACAUAAAACAAACUAAGGUAAUCUUUCCACUCGAGAGCCUUCUCUGCUUGAGGGGUAAAACUUGUGCCAAACCUCACAUUAUUUGAAGUUGAAUGCUCCUUGGAAUACUUAUUUUUAAGCUCAGCGGGUAGCCCAAAGAACCUAUAAGUAGCAUCUUUAACAUUCUCUAGCACUUCAACAGGCACAGCAUGGUUAACAAUCUGGAAGAACCCCCAUUUUGAUGCGGCAUCACAAAUUGAUUUCGC
rnacentral:lncRNA from 1 species